CACGGCCGGACGUUGCAGAUUGAUGAUGCCGCAGCAGUCAAUGGAUCGCUGUGAGGUUUCAGAGAACUACCACCAUCAUAGCCCGGGGGUCCAGGGAGCCAGCGGCGCCUGGUCAGUGGACUCCUUCUCUGGGUCGGUCUCCUCACCGUCAGCCACGUGGUCUCCAUCACCCUACUCGUCAUCACCAGGCCACACGCACUGCCUCUGCCAGAAAUAGUUUCAGCUCCAAAACCCACAGCAGACUCAUCUCUGAGCAUACCCCUGGAGCCACAAAGAGUGCCAUGGCAAAUGCUCACCUUUGAACCCACAAGUAUAGAUGAUAAUGAUGUCUCGGUGGCGAGAAGUGGGAUCAAGUGGAAGACGCAGUCCAAGGCAAAUAAUUUUGUCUCCCUAAAGGGCGGAUCCCUGACCAUCAACCAAGAUGGUUGUUACUUACUGUAUCUUCAGGUGACUCUGGAGACACCAGAGGUGUCUGGACAGCACAUAGUGAGAGUGAACAAGCCCAACAGAGUCCUGCUGGAAGUAAGGAUGACCAACACCUCCCUCAGCACAGGGUUCCUGGGCAGGGCUGUGGAUCUAGCAGCCUCUGACACCCUCACAGUCACUGUCUCCCCUGGAGCCAGGAUCAACACCACCUACACCGCCACAUACCUGGGUAUCAUAGGUCCAAAAUUAUAUCUGUAGAUUCUAUAGGAUAUAGACACUCCUGUCUUCAUAGACACAUGCUGGGGGCUAGAUCUGGGAGUCAUUUGGUAGGGGUUGAUUGAAUAGAUCCUGGGGAUCUGGAGUUAACUGGGAUCAACCCAUCAUCCCACCACCUGUCAGAGAGAUGGAGUAGUGGGGAAGAUCAUGUGGGAGACACCGUGUAUUUGACUGAAACUGAUUCAGUCCGACUCCCUGCUCAUCACAGAAGAUUAUUCCACUCCUUUAUACUCUACCUAGCCUUCCAACUGAUUUUGAGCUGCAAGGAUUUUAUUUCCAGAAUUCUACAGAUUUUUUAAUUUGAUUUUUAUUUAACCUAUAUUUAACUCGGCAAGUCAGUUAAGAACAAAUUCUUAUUUUUUUUUGGUUGGCCCUUCUCAAUGAGGGCCAACCAAAAUGCAAAAGGCCUCCUGCAGGGAAGGGGGUUUAAAAAUGUAAUAUAAUAAUGCGUCUUGUAAUGUUGGAAAAAUAUGUUUAAAAGUAUUGGUCAUCAUGGGUUAUGGGUUGUACUGUUACUUUAGCAUGUUUCUCUCUUGGAUGAAGUAGCACUGUUUUUAUCGCUCAGGAUUAUAGUUAGUAUGUUUUUCCAGUAAAUAUAUUUUUUUUAAGCUAUGAAUGAAGGGAUUGUCUUAUCAAGUCAUGUGCACAGGGUUGUUGAGAGAAGGCACAGUAUCAACAUAUCUUUAAAGAUUACUUUAAUAUUUGCGUAUUGCUUUGUAUUUAAAAUAUUAUUUUUUAAAUAUAUUUAUGUCUUAUUACAAUAUUAUCUUAUUAUUAUUUUCUUCUUAUUUAUUUUCUAUAUCUAUUUUGAAGGACAUGUUGAGUAUGUUGUAGGAUGAGAUGUAGAGAUAAACAAUGAAUGUAUGUCACUAACCAGGUUUCCAUUCAAUCGUUUUAUACGAGUAAAGUACGUCAGGUAAAACAUUUAAUGACAGGACUGAUGGAAACAGAAAAUGUUUCGGUAAACCUUCCAAAUGUAGACAAAACAAAGUACGCUAUACAAGGUGGGAUCUUUUUGUGUCGGUAAAAUUAGUUAUGCGAGAAAUGGCAGUGGAAACACCUUUAUGCGCAAAUAUUGAUGUAAUAACCAUUAUAUCGAAGUAAACUUGGAGUCACGCCAUGAUAAAUGGUGUGGUUCUCCCACUACGACUCGGGAAAGCAUGCAGUUCAUUAGGCUACAGAUUAAAUACAUUAUGAUGAACUUCACAGGGUGGUGAAUGUGCAUGGUGAUGCUCCUUUCCAAUAAAUAUCGAGGGUCUUCUUCUGGUGACAUGAUGAUCGAUUCUUGGCUGCCUUUUGACAAAUACAAAUAAUAUUGCUCUUAUCCAAUAACCGCAUAAUGUUGGUAGCCUACCGCACUGUAUCUGCGAGCUGUUGGCUAGAGCGCAUGUUCCAAGAUCAGAGUGCACAUUUCCUACUCCAUCAAUAGAGUUGAAAAUGCGAUGGAAACCCAUUUUCCAUUCGGUAGGCUACAUGGGAAUUUAACGGCAGAAGUUAUUUUUUAUCUGCACUACGUCCUCAAGCACAGCCUUUUACCCAUAGAAAAAAGUAUGUUUGAUGGAAACAUCCCUGGCGGGGGAAUGCACAUAUCGUUUUAGCAGAUUUUAGAAUAUUAGCAUGAAAAUCUAUAGCAAAUUGGAUGGAAACCGACUUUAUAGCGCCAAAUAAACAAGAAAAAAAGGUACGUUGUUACGAAUUCCACAACUGAACUUCCGCUGGGAAACAGGAAUGCAAUCUAUUAUAUUAAGAAAGCACUGGAUUUUUUUUUCUCCAAACAAAUAAAUGAAGUACAGUAUUUGACUUGUAUAUGGCUUUUAUUUCACCUUCAACUAUUGUUUGUCGAAGCCAAAAUUACAGAAAUGUGGACUAAUUCAUGACAUGUUGUGAAAUUAUAUGAAAAUAAAGCACAAAUAGAUUUAAGUCUAAUUGUGUCAUGCCAACGCUGUGGGGGGUGAGAGCUAUUAUAAACAGAUGUGAAACCACCAGAUGUGAAUCAUUACCAACACAGUGAAAUAAGGGUCAAAUCGAACUACAUAUGUAGGAUCAUGAUUUGAUCCCCCUUUGCAGAAUAACUUGUAGUGUAUUUGAGGUUUAAAAAGGCUUCUAAAGUUUGUCAUUUCUACACUGAAAUUUCAGAC